UACGGAGGGUGCAAGCGUUGUUCGGAAUUACUGGGCGUAAAGGGCGUGUAGGCGGUAUGGUAAGUCAGAUGUGAAAGCCCUGGGCUUAACCCAGGAAGUGCAUUUGAAACUGCCAUGCUUGAGUAUGGGAGAGGAGAGUGGAAUUCCCAGUGUAGAGGUGAAAUUCGUAGAUAUUGGGAGGAACACCCGUGGCGAAGGCGACUCUCUGGACCAAUACUGACGCUGAGGCGCGAAAGCGUGGGGAGCAAACAGG
rnacentral:rRNA from 1 species